rnacentral:misc_RNA from 1 species
AAGUCGUAACAAGGUAACCGUAGGUGAACCUGCGGUUGGAUCAUUAACAAAUUUAUGAUCGGGAUCAAUUUGGGUUUCUGGAGUGACUGGAUUAGGUUCCUCCUCCCGAGCCCAUCUUUGACCCACAACCCCAACAUUUUUGUGAACUGUCUUAUCCUUUGUCUGGCUAUGGUGGGGAACCCUGGUUCCUGCCAUUGUGCAGGCAAUACCAACCUUAUCUUUAUUUGUCACAACCAUGGAUACCCAUCCAUACACAAUUUCUUUGACAAAGAAACAACUUUUGGCAACGGAUCUCUUGGCUCUC